CAUGCAAGCCGAGCGGUAGAGAUUCUUCGGGAUCUUGAGAGCGGCGUACGGGUGCGGAACACGUGUGCAACCUGCCUUUAUCAAGGGGAUAGCCUUUCGAAAGGAAGAUUAAUACCCUAUAAUAUAUGAUUCGGCAUCGGAUUAUAUUGAAAACUACGGUGGAUAAAGAUGGGCACGCGCAAGAUUAGCUAGUUGGUGAGGUAACGGCUCACCAAGGCGACGAUCUUUAGGGGGCCUGAGAGGGUGAUCCCCCACACUGGUACUGAGACA
rnacentral:rRNA from 1 species